rnacentral:rRNA from 1 species
CAAUAGCGUAUACCAAAGUUGUUGCAGUUAAAACGCUCGUAGUCGGACUUUGGCAGUUCCGGAUGUGUGCACGUCGUGUGCGCACUUCGCGGGGAUUGCUUUUGUGGUCUUGCGUAGGAUGAGGCACUUUUAUUAGUGAACGUCCUCACGCAACCACUUUUUACUGUGAGAAAAUCAGAGUGCUCAAAGCAGGCAUUUGCCGUGAAUGUAUUAGCAUGGAAUAAUAGAAUAGGACUUGGUUCUAUUUUGUUGGUUUGUUGGGACUGAGUAAUGAUUAAGAGGGACAGUUGGGGGCAUUUGUAUUUCGGUGCUAGAGGUGAAAUUCUUAGAUUACCGAAAGACAAACUGCUGCGAAAGCGUCUGCCAAGGAUGUUUUCAUUGA